rnacentral:rRNA from 1 species
CGUAGGGGGCAAGCGUUGUCCGGAUUUAUUGGGCGUAAAGAGCGUGUAGGCGGCCAUACAGGUCCGUUGUGAAAACUCGAGGCUCAACCUCGAGACGUCGAUGGAAACCGUAUGGCUAGAGUCCGGAAGAGGAGAGUGGAAUUCCUGGUGUAGCGGUGAAAUGCGCAGAUAUCAGGAAGAACACCCGUGGCGAAGGUGGCUCUCUGGGACGGUACUGACGCUGAGACGCGAAAGCGUGGGGAGCGAACAGGAUUAGAUACCCUGGUAGUCCACGCCGUAAACGAUGGGUGCUAGGUGUGGGAGGUGUCGACUCCUUCCGUGCCGCAGCUAACGCAUUAAGCACCCCGCCUGGGGAGUACGGCCGCAAGGCUA